rnacentral:rRNA from 1 species
GACGAACGCUGGCGGCGUGCUUAACACAUGCAAGUCGAACGGAAAGGCCCUGCUUGCAGGGUACUCGAGUGGCGAACGGGUGAGUAACACGUGGGUGAUCUGCCCUGCACUUCGGGAUAAGCCUGGGAAACUGGGUCUAAUACCGGAUAGGAGCCAUUUUUAGUGUGAUGGUUGGAAAGUUUUUUCGGUGUAGGAUGAGCUCGCGGCCUAUCAGCUUGUUGGUGGGGUAAUGGCCUACCAAGGCGGCGACGGGUAGCCGGCCUGAGAGGGUGGACGGCCACAUUGGGACUGAGAUACGGCCCAGACUCCUACGGGAGGCAGCAGUGGGGAAUAUUGCACAAUGGGCGCAAGCCUGAUGCAGCGACGCCGCGUGGGGGAUGACGGCCUUCGGGUUGUAAACUCCUUUCGCUAGGGACGAAGCUUUUUGUGACGGUACC